UGAUCAGAGAGAAAAAUUGAGACUGAUUUUGAGAGAAAAAAAUUUCAGAACUUAAGAGUAAAAGGAAGGUCUUUUCUUUACCGCUGAAUAUCAGAAUUAGUACUGUUACUACUUCAUUGGUUAUUGCUGGAUUUUCUGCUUGAUUUUUAAAUCUAUUCCUAGGUCUUCCUGCACUGUUUGUUACUGGUUUACUGCUUUUGUUGCUGAACCUUUUGUUGCUGUGUUGUACUACUACUGCACUACCGACUUCUUCCUCUUCUUUGCUUUCCAAAUACCAGGUAUACGACUCAAACACUGGCUAUUGUAAGCUCAAAAUGUAGAAGCAUGAAUACAUAUAAAAAUGGAAGUUUGAAGAUAUGAUUUAACUGUUCUUCUUUACAUGAUUUUAUUUAGAACAUUUCUUAUACUACUGUUAUGUAGAUUUCUGCCAGCUUUGUAUAGCUGGACUGUAUUCAGUUUGAUUUGGAUUAAUUGAAGUUAUAAUUAUAAUGAACUAUUAGGAUGUAGUUACCAGAUGUAGUAAUAUUCUCUUGUAGAAUAAAGCACGAAACAAUUCUCCAUUUUUACGAGCUAGAGUGCAAUUUUCGUUCGCAUUAAUCUAAUAACUAAUAAGAGGCCCGAACUUGCCAAGAAUGUGAAUUAAUUAGGAUUUUUUCUUAUAUUUUAUUUUAGAGACAAACAAAAAAUAGAAAUAUAGUCACUUUAGGAUUAUUCUUUUAAAAUAAACGAGAUGAGCCUCGCCAAAUAAAAACGCAUAGGCUGCGGGGCCCUCAAUAAUUGGAUAUAAUAAUUGUUUAGAUUUCGGGAUGAGUCGUUUAGUGAAUUUCACGACCUUCCCCAAAAUAACAACGCUCUAGACUCUUUAGGCGCGUAUUUUAAAUAUUACCUCCCUAAACUCGAGUGUAUAUUGAUGUGACCCAAAUUCAAAUCGCAGCGAAGUCAAAACAUGUCGACAACCACGCGUACACUGGUUGUGACGUAGUUCGAGAUACGUUUUUGCGACGUUGUAAUUCUCUACUUAUAGUAAUUAUAAUAAUAAUAAUAAUAAUAAUAAUCAUAAUAAUUGAAGCGCUUAAAAGUUAAAAUUUGCACAUAAGUUCAUAAUUGUUUAAAAAUCAAAUGAAUAAGCCGAAUAUAAAAGUUGAGCGACCAUGCGAGAACCACUGAACUCGAAAAUGCCUAACACCUUCUCCCGGGUUAACAUAAUCCUUAUCUGGAUUUUUGGUUCGCGGACUGUUAAAGAGAGUCAAUUUUUUCCUUGAUUCGGGAUUCAACUGGUGACUUGGGACACCAUAAAUCUCUCAAGUGGCGACUCUGAAUUAAAUAAACAAAUCCCUUUUUGAUUGUCCUUUAAUUGUAAAGACUCCUUUCCGCCCCUGCGGCGCGGGUAAAAAGGAGGUGUGACAGCUCUGGCGACUCUGCUGGGGAUAAUACCGCUGAACCACUGGUCCAGGGUUAGAAUAGUCGAACUCUUGGGAAUCUCCUAAAAACUUAGUGAGAAAUGUCAAUAGCAAGCUCGAGCUCAGAAAUUGUUGUAUUUUUUUGGCUUUAUAUUAUUAUCUGAUAUUUCCAUGUGAUAUAUGCUUAAUGUGCAAAUUGAUGAUUUUCUACCGCUUUGAUAUUAAUUGAACUGUAUAUAUAAACUGUGCCGAAACUCUUCUCUUCUCCCUCUUGAGGAGUGCGCGCUGGUCAUGACUUCUUUCUGUUAGUGUCAUAAUCCCAAUUUAGUACGAGGAUUCGGUGGGAUUGCAAAACCAGAGGAUCUUUUUGUUACCGACACGCAGUUCCCAUCCUUGGCUUGAGUUGUCCGCUCGGGUAAAAAGCCAGGUUUAGAACAACAACCUAGGUUGAAGCUUUUUAUCGGAGGAUCUUUUGGUUACCGGCACGCAAUUCCCAUCCUCGGCUCGAGUUGUCCACUCGGGUAAAAAGCUAGGUCUAGAACAAAAACCCAGGUUUAAACCUAGUAUAACAGAACUUCAUGCCGGAUCCCUAGUAGGAACGUUUGUUUGCAUCAUGUUCAUUUGACUUAGGGGGCUCAACACAGGGGUUGAGUCUGUCUAGGACAAGAAACCUGAAAUGAAAAGACCAUCCUGCUGCAUCCUAUUUGUUUUAUGCAUUUAUUUUCUUCAGACAUGCAUGCUGACCGGCUUUGAACAUAAGGAAAAUUUGAAAAAAUAAAUAAAUAAAAUAGCAGUGUAGAGUGUUAAUUACAUAUUUUUAGAAAAUUAAUUUCCAAAUAAUAUCGGAACUUUGCCGAAAUUUUGAAAAGAAAAAAUAGGAAAAAGAGCCUUUUAUUUUUUGGAAAAUUAUUUGUUGAAAAAGAAUUUGAAAAAGAGUCUUUAUUUUAGUUUGGAAAAAUAUGCUGUUUUAUUGUUUGGAAAAAAAAAGAAAAAAAAGGAAGAGUCGUUAUUUAGUCUUGCCAUAAAAAUGAAAAUGAAAAAUAUUCUUGUUUUUUAAAUAGUUUUUUUAUGAAAUGCUAAAAAUAAAAAUGAAAAAGAGUCUUAUUUAAAAAAAAUAGUAUUUGCUUUUGAAAUACAAAAAAAAUGAAAAUGAAAAAAACUGAGUUGUUUUAAAAAUAGUUCGUGUAAAUGGCGAACUACGCUGGUUUGAUUCUCACUGGAUGUGAGAUAUGUAGGCAACCCUCAUCGGGUCCAACCUCCCCUUUUGCUAAAAUAACCAAAAAAAAUGUCAAUUUUGAUUGUCAUCAUAAAUAAGUCGAGUGAUGCCGUUUUUGUUAAAAAUAGCCGAAUGUUCCCGAAAGGGACGCCGGAAGGCUGACUUUGUAUUAACGGCCACCUUUAAUCACUGUUUUAGGAUUUGGGCCGGUUAGCUAAUGCAACCUUAAAAUCUUCGUCCCCGUAAUGCUGCAAGGUCGUGUUUGCAAUACCAAGUCUUUUAUUUUAAUUUGAAAAAAAAGAGUCAGUGGGCAAGUGAGUGCCAUUUGGAUAUUGGUCAAAAUAAGCCGAGCCUGCUUCGGCAAUAUCUUAAAUCGUUCUUGCCAAGAUAGCCUUAGAAUAUCUUUCAAUUGUUGAAAGGCUAUUUUCGUAAAAGAACGAACAAGUUUGUGAAAUGUCAUAAAAUAAUCCUUUUCGGCCUCAAAAUUCAUGUGAAAUUGAGAAGGGUCCACGUCAACAAAAAUAGCCAUUUGGUUAAAAUGGGCAUAUAAGGGAAAAAAUAUGUCAGUUUGUUUUUUAUUUGUAUUUCUUUUAAUAAGAGUAUGUGGGUUGUUUGAUUGUCAAGUCUGUAAGUAUUCUUUUCGUCAGUCUGUUACUAUGGUCAGUUUUUUAAAACUAUGUAAUCAAGUUUGUUUUAUUGUAAAAAUUGAAAAUUCCAAACAAAAAAAAUGUUUUAUUGUUUUUUUACCUUGCAUUGGGUCCGAAUUACGCAAGGUUUGAUUCAUGCGGGGUCAUGAUACAUAGGCAAUCUCCAUAAGAUUCGACCACCACGAAAAAAAACAAAAAUUUAAAAAUGAAAAAGAUGUUGUGAAUAAUGAGGACCGACUAAUUCCAUUCUAACAUAUUUUGUUUUGAAUUUUGAGAAAGCUGGAAUGAUCGGUUUGUGGUAAGUUGGAAGCACAUGAUCAAGGAAAAUUUGAUUCAAGACAGUGACAUCCAGAAUAUCACGUUGAAUCCCUUAUAUAAUGAUGCACACUUUGUGUGGAUGAUGCCCGGUAACAUGGGGUAUGAGAAUGUACUAACUAAAUUUGAAGAUCUUGAAGCAGAUAGUGGUCUUGACAAUAUGGAUACGAAGCUCAAUGGCUAAAAAUGAAGUGCUUGUUAAUUUGAAAGACACUCCAUGUCUGGGUCAGCUGGAGGGAGUCUGGUGGUAGACCUUGAUCUGUCUUUCAUGUUUUCUGGAUUAUUCCAGGGUGUAAUCCAAAUUUUUGUUUUAUUUUUAGCAAAAGUGUGAACCGUGUUAUCCCCUGUUUUAUUAAAGUAAAAGUUUUUCUUGUUUUCGUUUAAAUUUGUUUCUUCUUCUUCUGUUGCUUUCUGAACAGUACUCUUUUUGCUGGUUCUAGUGACAAGGCAUACACGAUGGAUCCUCAACCCAGUCUAAAAAAAGGUCAAUCAAUCUGACUAUGAACUAAUAAUACAAGAAGUAGAUUGAUCAUAAUGAGUGGGUCAAAACCCGAAUGGAGCGGUAAAGGCGGCCAACUAUAAC
rnacentral:lncRNA from 1 species